AACAGGAGGUGAUGACCCCACCCCCCUCAGUUUGCUGAUACGAAGGCUUGCCUUCUACGGUAUGAACUAAACUGAAGAGCGCCGUGGCAGAACCAGGAGUGACUGAACAUUCAGAAUGAUGAUCAUUGUUUGCUGCAUAACCUUGAACAUUAUACUGGUUUCAGUUUCCUCUUCAAGUGACCAAGUCCACCAGACUCCAAGAGACAUUUACAGUAAACCAGGAGAACCAGCCAGAAUACAAUGUUCACACCAGAUUCAAAGCUAUAACGUGAUCCUCUGGUACAAGAAGUUAAACAAACAGAUGCAGCUCCUGGGAUAUAUGUUUACAACCACCUCAAAUCCAGAGAAAGACGUUAAAGUGAAGAUGGAAGGGGACGCGAGUAAAGGAAAGAACUGCACGUUAAUAAUCGAGCGAGUCAAUCAGAACAGCAGUGCGGUCUAUUUCUGUGCAGCUAGUUUCCACAGUGCUGCAUGUCACUGCUCAGCAGUACAAAAACCUCCUCUUCAUCUCUACUGAACACCUGGAUUUCCUUUCUGAUAAUGUGGUUUAUUUUCAGCCUUUUUACUGAGCUGGUGUUGUGUGUCUGUGGUUGACAUGAUGCUAAGAGGAGGAGGAUAAACUACGGCUCCGCCCACCUUAUGACUACCUGUUCAGUUUGCUGAAAGGAGGUUUUAUGACAAGAGGAGGCUGGAAAAAGUCACUGAGAGUAUCAUAUAAGAAACAUUAUUACCAAACAGAAAAGGCAGCAUGAUCAUCUUCUACCUGAUCGUUCAUUUGAACAUGUUUCUGGUUUCAGUUUCCUCUUCAAGUGACCAAGUCCACCAGACUCCAAGAGACAUUUACAGCAAACCAGGAGAACCAGCCAGAAUACAAUGUUCACACCAGAUUCAAAGCUAUGAUCAAAUCCUCUGGUACAAGAAGUCAAAC